GACGAACGCUGGCGGCGUGCUUAACACAUGCAAGUCGAACGGAAAGGCCCUGCUUGCAGGGUACUCGAGUGGCGAACGGGUGAGUAACACGUGGGUGAUCUGCCCUGCACUUCGGGAUAAGCCUGGGAAACUGGGUCUAAUACCGGAUAGGAGCCAUUUUUAGUGUGAUGGUUGGAAAGUUUUUUCGGUGUAGGAUGAGCUCGCGGCCUAUCAGCUUGUUGGUGGGGUAAUGGCCUACCAAGGCGGCGACGGGUAGCCGGCCUGAGAGGGUGGACGGCCAGAUUGGGACUGAGAUACGGCCCAGACUCCUACGGGAGGCAGCAGUGGGGAAUAUUGCACAAUGGGCGCAAGCCUGAUGCAGCGACGCCGCGUGGGGGAUGACGGCCUUCGGGUUGUAAACUCCUUUCGCUAGGGACGAAGCUUUUUGUGACGGUACCUAGAUAAGAAGCACCGGCUAACUACGUG
rnacentral:rRNA from 1 species